UAUUAAAUAUAAUGUAAAAUUAAUGACUUUAAAUUAAUUAAAAUUUUUAAUUUAAAUAAGAAUUUUUUAAGUGAAAUUUAAAAUUUUUAAAAAAUUAAUUAUAUAUAAUGAUGUUUAUAAAUUAAUAAAAAGACUAGGAUUAGAUACCCUAUUAUUAUAAUCAAUUUAUUAAAAUCAUAUUAGUAUAAGUUUAGUUCUGGAAAAUAAAAAAAUUUGGCGGUACUUUAAUCUAUUUAGAGGAAUCUGUCCUAUAAUUGAUAUUCCACGUUUGAAUAAAUUUAUUUUUUAAAUUUUUAUAUCGUUGUAAAAAGUAUACUAAGAGGUUUAUAUUUAAUUUUAUAUAUAAAUAUAUUUAUUUCAGAUCAAGAUGAAGUUUACAAAUAAGAAGAGAUGGAUUACAGUGUUUUUAAAUUAGGAUUAAAAAUUUUAAGAUUAAAAGUAAUAAGGAUUUAAAUGUAAUUAAAUAUUAAAUUAUUUAAUGAUUAUAGUUCUAAAAU
rnacentral:rRNA from 1 species